UACGUAGGGUGCGAGCGUUGUCCGGAAUUACUGGGCGUAAAGUGCGUGUAGGUGGUUUGUUAAGUUGGAUGUGAAAGCCCCGGGCUCAACCUGGGAACUGCAUCCAAAACUGGCAAGCUAGAGUACGGUAGAGGGUGGUGGAAUUUCCUGUGUAGCGGUGAAAUGCGUAGAUAUAGGAAGGAACACCAGUGGCGAAGGCGACCACCUGGACUGAUACUGACACUGAGGUGCGAAAGCGUGGGGAGCAAACAGG
rnacentral:rRNA from 1 species